UCCGCCAUCUCUAUUGGCGGCUUGGCAUUGUUGGCGCAGUUGGGUGCACACUAAAUUUAACUUUUAUACCCAGAACUAUCCUUAGAAACUCUUUCUUUGUAUCCAAUUGCACAGCAAUAGUUAACCAUGGCUUAAAUAAGUUUUAAAAUCCAACAGUUAAAAGCGAGAAAAAAUCUGCCAUUGAAAUAUAAUGGGGAACGGAGAAUGCGGUUACAGUGAACACAAAUUCUGUCGCGAAGUAAAAUAAGUAAGGCUGCAGGGUUGUUUUUUUUUCCCAACAGUAAUGAGGCUAGGGUUAACAUUUUUCGGCCGAUUAUUUCAAACGAUUCUGUUGUUUAUUUUCUUAAUGUUUUAUCAUUUAAAAUUAAACAUUGUUAAUUAAUCCAUGUUUCAGAUUCAUUCUGAAGUACUUUUGAAUUAAAUUAACACAGAAUAAAGGAAAUUAAAAAUUCGUAUCUGCAUAGCGUUACCCCAACUGGCGUAGAAAAAUUCAAGCAUUUGCGUUACCGUAAAUGGCGUUGGCAAAUUCACGCAUGCGCAUUGUGUUCUGAUUGUUGACAAUAUUAUCAACGGAUGAUUCUUGAUUUAUUUUUAGGUUAGUUGCAUAGAGAUGAGAUACUGGUAUCAGCUCUAUGACCUGUGAUCAUCGAAGAAAAAGGGAGGCAGCGGAUAAAACUGCAUCUGAAUUAAUUCUAAAACACAAGGCGUGGGAAGCAUAGCCUGAAUGGACCAAAGAUUUGUCCUGCUAUUAUACAAUAUUUAGAAAGAGAAGGUUAUAAAUUUUCAGCUAAUAAUCCUGGUUUUGUAAUAGUUUAUUUACAUUCUUCUGGAAAUGGUGCACCAAUAAAUCUUCUGAAGGAUGUGUACUCAAAGAAUGGAAGAGUUUUCUUUGCUAUGGCUUUUCUACUGAACUUAUUGAUUGUAUAUAUUUGAAAUGAUGUGUAAAAUUCUAAUGCUUAUAAUUUUACUAGGUAAUAACUCCAUGUUGUUUAAAAACCAAAUUCUUCAUGUACUUUUUUUCCAAAUAUUUUUUAAUUUCCCUCAGCUAAAUUUCUUUCAAUCCAUUUUUGUGAACUUAUACACUUAUAAAAAGAAGUACUUGUCCAUAUUUUUUUUAUCGUUAAUUUUUAUUGAGCAUGAUAAUUCGCUGGUAUUUUUUCAUAAUUAAAAUUAAACAUGGUUGGCAACUAAUAAAAAUCACUUUCACUGAUAGUCUAAAACAGACAAUGGAAGAGGAAGAUUGACCACCACCAUAUUUAAUUUAUUGCAUAUAUGUAUAAAUAUAUAUAAUAUUUUCGCCGAAAAUUGUUUGCUUUUUUUCAGAACAAAAAGUUGUCGACAAUUAUUGUAAAUGGUUUUGCGUACUAUUGGAAAAGGCAGCUUAAAUGUAACUCGGCUCCUGUUACUAUUAUGAUUUUAAACUUUAAUUGGUCUUUUAUUUUAAAGGUUAUAUAUGGAGCUGCCCCCCCCCCCCUUCUUUCUUCGAAUUUCAGAUUUAUCAUACUGUGUGUUACUAGAGCAAAAGUAUAAAUUUUGAGUAUUGAUAUUCAAAAUUGGUUGUAAAAUACUGAUCCAUUAUUUUAAUUCCCCAAAAAAAUUUAUUUUAGUUAAAUAAAUAUGAAGUAUCGGAUUUUAUUGUUAUUAGUUCCAUGAAACUUCUGUUUAUUUUAAAACUUUAUGAACACAUAUUACUAAAUUCUAUGUAUGAAUGGAUGCUAUAGACA